rnacentral:rRNA from 1 species
UACAGAGGGUGCGAGCGUUGUCCGGAAUUACUGGGCGUAAAGAGCUCGUAGGUGGUUUGUCGCGUUGUUCGUGAAAUCUCACGGCUUAACUGUGAGCGUGCGGGCGAUACGGGCAGACUGGAGUACUGCAGGGGAGACUGGAAUUCCUGGUGUAGCGGUGGAAUGCGCAGAUAUCAGGAGGAACACCAGUGGCGAAGGCGGCUCACUGGCCCGGUACUGACGCUGAGGUGCGAAAGCGUGGGGAGCAAACAGG